rnacentral:misc_RNA from 1 species
GACAAAAUGACAACUUAGAGAGGUGUAGAUGUCUACACCACCUUGCUUUGUGUUGGAAAUUUCUCUUCAUUAUGUUUUUAUUCUAUCUGAAUACAUCAAUAUAAGUUGAUAAUUCUAAAAUUAAAUAAUCAUUUUGAUAGUUUUUUUUUUCCUCUUUCCUUUUUCCUUCAUGUAAAAAUUAUACCUGGUUUUUAGUGUUUGUUUUAAAUAUCAUCUCUAUUGAUCAAGUAAAAAGUUAUUUCCUGCCCAUUGGUUUUAUCUGACUUGUGCAUAUUGCUUAGUUGCUUUGCUCGUUGCAAUAUGAGUUGUUGUUCAUUUUUAAAUGGUAAGAAGUUGAAAACAGAACAAUAUUCUUUAUUUGGGCAACACAGGCCUGAAGAAGUUGCUUGCUGUUUUGACAUUGUCUAUUCUUUUGUCGCAAGACAGAAACUAACUUGCUGAAGGUAUAUGGUAUUCAAAAUGGAUCUCAUAACUCACAAGAUACAUCUCUUAUGACUAAUAAAUUUUUUAGGUAUGCGCUGCAGUGGGAAUCU